GGUGGGUAUAUAUGGGGGGAUAUAUGGGGUUUCAUGGGCGAGAUAAGGGGGGAUAUGGGGGGCGAAUAGUGGAGAGUGGGAUAUGGGGUGAUAUGAUGGGGUUAAAUGGGGUGGAUAUGAUAGGGUUCUAUGAGGUGAUAUGGGGGUUAUAUGGGGUUAUAUGGGGGGAUAUGAUGGGAUAUGGGGGGAUAUGAUGGGGUAUGGGGUGGAUAUGGGGGUUAUAUGAGGUUAUAUGGGGGUUAUAUGGGGUUUUAUGGGGGUUAUAUGGGGUUAUAUGGGAGCUAUAGGGGGUUAUAUGGGGUUAUAUGGGGAGAUAUGGGGUUAUAUGGGGUAUAUGGGGUUAUAUGGGGUUAUAUGGGGGAUAUGAUGGGGUAUGGGGUGGAUAUGGGGAUUAUAUGGGGCUUAUAUGGGGUUAUAUAGGGGUAUAUGGGGUGUGUCAAUGGGCACCAUCAGCUGAUGGGGCUGCAAGAGGCUGCCAGGAGGGGAAAGGUGGGUUAUAUGGGGGGAUAUGGGGGGAUAUGAUGGGGUAUGGGGUGGAUAUGGGGUUAUAUAUGGGGUUAGUAUGGGAUUAUAGGGUUAUAUGGAGAUAUGGGAGGUAA
ensembl:lncRNA